AUUGAACGCUGGCGGCAGGCCUAACACAUGCAAGUCGAACGAGUGGCGGACGGGUGAGUAAUGUCUGGGAAACUGCCUGAUGGAGGGGGAUAACUACUGGAAACGGUAGCUAAUACCGCAUACCAUCAGAUGUGCCCAGAUGGGAUUAGGGUGCUGGUGGGGUAACGGCGCACCAAGGCGACGAUCCCUAGCUGGACUGAGAGGGUGCACAGUCACACUGGAAUGGAGAAACGGUCCAGACGCCGACGGGAGGCAGAAGUGGGGAAUAUUGCACAAUGGGCGAAAGCCUGAUGCAGCAAUGCCGCGUGUAUGAAGAAGGCCUUCGGGUUGUAAAGUACUGUCAGCGGGGAGGCGUUACCCGCAGAAGAAGCACCGGCUAACUCCGUGCCAGCCGCCGCGGUAAUAC
rnacentral:rRNA from 1 species